AUUGAACGCUGGCGGCAGGCUUAACACAUGCAAGUCGAGCGAGCGGCGGACGGGUGAGUAAUGUCUGGGAAACUGCCUGAUGGCGGGGGAUAACUACUGGAAACGGUAGCUAAUACCGCAUACCAUCAGAUGUGCCCAGCUGGGAUUAGCUAGUAGGUGGGGUAAUGGCUCACCUAGGCGACGAGCCCUAGCUGGUCUGAGAGGAUGACCAGCAACACUGGAAGUGGGACACGGUCCAGAUUCGUACGGGAGGAAGCAGUGGGGAAUAUUGCACAAUGGGCGCAAGCCGGAUGCAGCAAGGCCGCGUGUGGGAAGAAGGCCUUCGGGUUGUAAAGCACUUUCAGCGAGGAGGCGUUACUCGCAGAAGAAGCACCGGCUAACUCCGUGCCAGCCGCCGCGGUAAUUC
rnacentral:rRNA from 1 species